UACGUAGGGACCAAGCGUUGUCCGGAAUCAUUGGGCGUAAAGGGUGCGUAGGCGGGUCUUUAAGUCAGAGGGGAAAUCCUGGAGCUCAACUCCAGAACUGCCUUUGAUACUGAAGAUCUUGAGUUCGGGAGAGGUGAGUGGAACUGCGAGUGUAGAGGUGAAAUUCGUAGAUAUUCGCAAGAACACCAGUGGCGAAGGCGGCUCACUGGCCCGAUACUGACGCUGAGGCACGAAAGCGUGGGGAGCAAACAGG
rnacentral:rRNA from 1 species